rnacentral:rRNA from 1 species
GGGUGAGUAACACGUGGGUGAUCUGCCCUGCACUUCGGGAUAAGCUUGGGAAACUGGGUCUAAUACCGGAUAGGAGCCAUCUUUAGUGUGGUGGUUGGAAAGUUUUUCGGUUGUAGGAUGAGCUCGCGGCCUAUCAGCUUGUUGGUGGGGUAAUGGCCUACCAAGGCGGCGACGGGUAGCCGGCCUGAGAGGGUGUACGGCCACAUUGGGACUGAGAUACGGCCCAG